rnacentral:rRNA from 1 species
CACGUAGGGUGCAAGCGUUGUCCGGAAUUAUUGGGCGUAAAGAGCUCGUAGGCGGUCUGUUGCGUCGGCUGUGAAAACCCGGGGCUCAACCCCGGGCCUGCAGCCGAUACGGGCAGACUAGAGUUCGGCAGGGGAGACUGGAAUUCCUGGUGUAGCGGUGAAAUGUGCAGAUAUCAGGAGGAACACCGGUGGCGAAGGCGGGUCUCUGGGCCGAUACUGACGCUGAGGAGCGAAAGCGUGGGGAGCGAACAGG